UUCGUUAUUCUGGGCUUCCGGUGUUGGGCUGAGUGUGUAAUUUUGGCCCAUUUAUUUAGGGAUCGCUGGUGGCUAUCUAAUUUUGACAUGGGCUUUUGAUAUUUGGACUGGGUGUGCCAAAUUUAGGCCCAAACACUAUCCCAUUAGGGAAUGCAUAGUCCUGUCACGUAAUUUACUGCUACUUGAGAUUAGAUUUCGACAUGGAUGAAUUUC
rnacentral:lncRNA from 1 species